AAUAAAGUGACUGAAUUAAGUAUUAAAUUGUAAAUUUAAAUAAUGAAUUGCCAAAAAUUCCUUUAUUA
rnacentral:tRNA from 1 species